UACGUAGGAGACAAGCGUUGUCCGGAAUUACUGGGUGUAAAGCGCGUGUAGGCGGUAGGCCAAGUCUGCUGUGAAAUCGCCCGGCUCAACUGGGCGCGGUCGGUGGAAACUGGUCAACUGGAGGACGGUAGAGGCGAGUGGAAUUCCCGGUGUAGUGGUGAAAUGCGUAGAGAUCGGGAGGAACACCAGUGGCGAAGGCGGCUCGCUGGGCCGGUCCUGACGCUGAGACGCGAAGGCGUGGGGAGCAAACAGG
rnacentral:rRNA from 1 species